GUUAGGAAUAUUGGACAAUGGGCGAAAGCCUGAUCCAGCCAUGCCGCGUGAACGAUGAAGGCCUUCGGGUUGUAAAGUUCUUUAGCCGAUGAUUAUAAUGACUGUAGUCGGAAAAUAAGCCCCGGCUAACUUCGUGCCAGCAGCCGCGGUAAUACGAAGGGGGCGAGCGUUAUUCGGAAUCACUGGGCGUAAAGCGUGCGUAGGCGGUUUUGUAAGUUAGGAGUGAAAGCCCAGGGCUCAACCUUGGAAUUGCUCUUAAAACUGCAAGGCUCGAAUCUCGGAGAGGAUAGCGGAAUUUCCAGUGUAGCAGUGAAAUGCGUAGAUAUUGGAAGGAACACCAGUGGCGUAAGCGGCUAUCUGGACGAGUAUUGACGCUGAGGCACGAAAGCGUGGGGAUCAAACAGGAUUAGAAACCCUAGUAGUCC
rnacentral:rRNA from 1 species